GAGGGGACGCGGGGACAGGAGCCCCGGGCUAAGCCGGAGCUGAGCCCGCGAGCCGCCCUUAAGCAUCGGGGGCAGGGCAGGGCGCCUGGGGGAGGGGGCGAGGCGCGGAGCUAAUCCCACGCCGGCCCUGAGGCAGCCCCGGGGCCGGGGGAGCGGUGGCCCCCUCGGGAGCCCCGUCCUGAGGGCGCGGCCUGCCUCGUCGCCGGGGUGAGGGGCGGGCGGGCGGCCGCGGCAGGGGGGCUUGUCGGGGCGUCGCCGCGCACCCAGCGGCCUGAGGGGAUCGACGACCGGAGAGCGCUCCCCGCGCCCACCCUGCCCGCCGCCGCGGGGGGGCUCCUCCGGUGGGAGAGAAACCCCCUCCCGCCUCCCCCCGCCCCGCCCCGGCAUCCCAAAUUUAGCACGUUCCUCCGAGUCUUAUUUAAGAAGAAACAACUUGAAUGACUAAUUAGAUCCAAGCCGUUAGAAGCGCUCUGGACUGCUUCCACGAACCCUUUAAUGCGUGCGCUAAAGAUUUCCAAAAUGAUUUCUGCUUGCAAGGAUGUAGACGGGAUGUGACCUGGCACCCGCUUCACGCAGUUUUUUGUUUCACAAAGUGCGAUUUAAUCCACACUCAGGAGAAAGGGCGAGGAGUGGGAAGAAAGACCCUGAUUUCCCUACUCAGCCUCAUGUGCCCCAAACUGAUCAGCUGCUUUUCGAUUCUAUUCAGAACUUGGUGCUUCCCUCAGCUGGAGCGAUUAUGGGAAACAGAAGCACUUUUCUUCAUUUGUACUGUUGGCACUGCGUUAGAACAGAAGCACUUGGAAAAGCAAGCCCAAGUGCCAUCCCAAAAGAUUUGUCAACUCAAACCCAUCUGGUUUAUAAUAGUAAAAGGAACGUGGUUAAGGGUGUUCCUCAGCACCAUGCACUUAACCUUCAAUUUAUCCUUGGUCUUCAGUUUUUCUGUUCUGAUUGAUGGAGCUUCAUGACAUUGUAAUCUUUCCAGAGCUAUUAAGAAGAAGAACUCCAUUCUGCAUAAUUCAACAGCUAUCAAAUCAAUUUGUGGUGCUCAAGAUGCAAAUGCAUGUUGACAGCUCACCCCAAGACAUCUGCUGAGUGCUCAGCAGAUGUUGCAAAGUGAAUGAAGUAUUAACAUAAGAAGAAAAUGAAAGCUCCCUCACUCGGCAGGAUUGUGGCCCUGACUCUGGCCCAGAAACCUGAGGGUGGCCUUUGUGGACCCAUGCCAGGGAAGACAGAAAUGACCAAGUUAUUUCCAACUACAUUCUUUCUUCCAGUAAAGCCCAGGUAGGAUUCAGCAGUGUUUCUCCAGCCAGAUAUACUUUAAAAUCUAGUCGUCCUCAAGCAUUCACCCCAAGCCCUUUAAUCCCAGUGCCAGCUAAUGCAGUGGGUGAAGAAUGUGGAAAACUUCUGUCCUGCCUAUCCUAAGUAAAAAAAUGGCUUAAAUUGUGAAAGCUAACAGGGACAGAUAGUUGGAUGUAUGUGUGGCAGGGUGAAGGUCUGAAGCUGAACUUCUGAACUAUCAAGCAGAAGCCUGCUACUUACUAAUUGCAACUGGUACAGGCUGGUACUAGAUUUUGUUAACACCUGGACUAAACAGAAAUGGCACAUCCCAAAUCCUGUAAUUAAUGAAGAGAUGAGACAGAACCACCAAUUACGAGACUGAUCAUGUGCAUUGUGCUUCUGCACACUGGCUGUUCAGACUGGGGAAAAUGGGGUCCUGGAAUUCUGGAAAGAAGAGCUGGUGAUAAAAUUAAGGGUUUCUGAAAAGAUGUGGUCUCAAUAAAAAGAAGAUUGCCUGGAAAAAGGAAGGUGACGUUCUUGGCUAGAGGAAAGGUCCUGAAAGUAGGGUAAGAUCCUGGAGACCAGAGGGCUGCAUGUAGGUGAGUGCCAGGGGAUGGCCUUCCUGGAUGGACAGUGAUGGCCCUGCUGAGAAAGGAAGUUGAGGCCUGGUGGAUGUAACACUGGGGUGGUAGUGGGCGUGAGUGAGUGUGUGAAGUAAUUAAGAAGGGUAAAAGUUCUAACUUUGUUGGUUGACAAGUAACCCCCAGUUCCCAGAUCCACUGUCAUUUACUCUGUCUUGUCCAUGACACUGCCUUUUUUAGGGUAGUCUGCAUUUCCUGGGCUAGAGAAGGUGUUGGCCAUGUGACUUUUUUGUACAUUUCUUUGCUGUUGUGAUACAAAAGAUUAAAAAGAACAUUGUCAUACAAUUA